rnacentral:rRNA from 1 species
ACACGUGGGCAAUCUGCCCUUCACUCUGGGACAAGCCCUGGAAACGGGGUCUAAUACCGGAUACUGACCCUCGCAGGCAUCUGCGAGGUUCGAAAGCUCCGGCGGUGAAGGAUGAGCCCGCGGCCUAUCAGCUUGUUGGUGAGGUAAUGGCUCACCAAGGCGACGACGGGUAGCCGGCCUGAGAGGGCGACCGGUCACACUGGGACUGAGACACGGCCCAGACUCCUACGGGAGGCAGCAGUGGGGAAUAUUGCACAAUGGGGCGAAAGC